GAUGAACGCUGGCGGCGUGCUUAACACAUGCAAGUCGAGCGAGUGAGUUCUUCGGAACGAUCUAGCGGCGGACGGGUGAGUAACACGUGGGCAACCUGCCUCAUAGAGGGGAAUAGCCUCCCGAAGGGGAGAUUAAUACCGCAUAACAUUAACGCGUGGCAUCACACGGUAAUCAAAGGAGCAAUCCGCUAUGAGAUGGGCCCGCGGCGCAUUAGCUAGUUGGUGAGGUAACGGCUCACCAAGGCGACGAAGCGUAUCCGACCUGAGAGGGUGAUCGGCCACAUUGGGACUGAGACACGGCCCAGACUCCUACGGGAGGCAGCAGUGUGGAAUAUUGCACAAUGGGGGUAACCCUGAUGCAGCAACGCCGCGUGAGUGAUGAAUGUCCUCGGAUUGUAAAGCUCUGUCUUUGGGGACGAUAAUGACGGUACCCAAGGAGGAAGCCACGGCUAACUACGUGCCAGCCGCCGCCGUAA
rnacentral:rRNA from 1 species